rnacentral:tRNA from 1 species
AGGGAUGUAGCUCAGCAGGCAGAGCGCCGGUCUCCAAAACCGAAGGUCGGGGGUUCGAUUCCCCCCAUCCCUG